rnacentral:miRNA from 1 species
GAACUCGAUUCUCCUCUGUCAU